rnacentral:rRNA from 1 species
GACGAACGCUGGCGGCGUGCUUAAUACAUGCAAGUCGAACGGAAAGGCCCUGCUUUUGUUGGGUGCUCGAGUGGCGAACGGGUGAGUAACACGUGAGUAACCUGCCCCUGACAUUGGGGUAACUUCAGGAAACUGGGGCUAAUACCGGAUAGGAGCUCCUGCUGCAUGGUGGGGGUUGGAAAGAUUCGGCGGUUGGGGAUGGACUCGCGGCUUAUCCGCUUGUUGGUGGGGUAGUGGCUUACCAAGGCUUUGACGGGUAGCCGGCCUGAGAGGGUGACCGGCCACAUUGGGACUGAGAUACGGCCCAGACUCCUACGGGAGGCAGCAGUGGGGAAUAUUGCACAAUGGGCGGAAGCCUGAUGCAGCAACGCCGCGUGCGGGAUGACGGCCUUCGGGUUGUAAACCGCUUUCGCCUGUGACGAAGCGUGAGUGACGGUAAUGGGUAAAGAAGCACCGGCUAACUACGUG